GCUUCUGCCUUCACUGUGGCCAGGUUUACUAUUCUUCCUUUUUCUUGCUUUUGUUUUUGAUGCUUGGAGUGAAAUUGUGUGUGAGAGUUUUGUAGUUAAUGAAGAAUAGGAUACUGAAUUAUUGAUUGCUUUGUGUUUUUAAUUUGGUGUUGUUGCUUAAUUGUGGUCUGAGUUGAGACUUGUCCAAUCCGCAAAAUGAAGUUAACGAUUCUAUGAUCUUUCCUCGAUCGUUGAAAUAUAUAUAAUUUCCAGAAAAUAAAAAAAAUAAUAAUGCAUAAUGAAAGAUUUUCUUCUAUGAUGAUUUUAUUAAUUUUUUUGGCGAUAAUAAUAGAAAAUUAUGCUCUUUUUUUCCCUCAAUCUUUCUUCCAUACAUUCUAAGCUUGGAUUUGAUUUGAUUUGAUUUUU
rnacentral:misc_RNA from 1 species